GAUGAACGCUGGCGGCGUGCUUAACACAUGCAAGUCGAACGGUGAAGCCAAGCUUGCUUGGUGGAUCAGUGGCGAACGGGUGAGUAACACGUGAGCAAUCUGCCCUUGACUCUGGGAUAAGCGCUGGAAACGGCGUCUAAUACUGGAUAUGAGCUGUGGCCGCAUGGUCGGCAGUUGGAAAGAAUUUCGGUCAAGGAUGAGCGCGCGGCCUAUCAGCUUGUUGGUGAGGUAAUGGCUCACCAAGGCGUCGACGGGUAGCCGGCCUGAGAGGGUGACCGGCCACACUGGGACUGAGACACGGCCCAGACUCCUACGGGAGGCAGCAGUGGGGAAUAUUGCACAAUGGGCGCAAGCCUGAUGCAGCAACGCCGCGUGAGGGACGACGGCCUUCGGGUUGUAAACCUCUUUUAGCAGGGAAGAAGCGAAAGCGACGGUACCUGCAGAAAAAGCACCGGCUAACUACGUGCCAGCAGCCGCGGUAA
rnacentral:rRNA from 1 species